UAGGACUGUUGGAGACUUGGAGUUGAUCGUCUUCUUAAAAUGACCGCCUUGCUCUUCUGCUGCUUUUCCUCGGCUCCAGUGCGAGGCUUACUCAGGCGACAACCUCACCGCCUCGGUCAGCUAGCCUCGCAACCCAGCGUCUGCUUCCAACUUGGCCGAAAUAUCGGAAAUCGGAGCGCCAUCGAAAGACAGUUUCGGCUGGUGGCGCCGAAGGCUGCAAUGUCGAUGGGAAGCGGAACGCUUUUGCAGGAUACCUUAGCGUCGGCUUUGGCCUCGGGAGUGGCCCUUGCGAUUCUACGGUUCUGGGAGGAGAUGGCGAAGAGAGGGGUUUUUGAGCAGAAAAUGAACCGGAAGCUGGUGCAUACAAGUGUUGGGUUGGUGUUCAUACUUUUUUGGCCUCUAUUCAGUUCUAGCAACCUGGCACCAUUUCUUGCGGCUCUAGCUCCAGGUGUCAAUAUUAUACGCAUGUUGCUCUUGGGGCUUGGAAUUUGGAAAAAUGAAGCCAUAGUCAAGUCAAUGAGCAGACAAGGAGACUACAGGGAACUUCUGAAGGGGCCAUUAUAUUAUGCUUGCACCAUUACACUGGCUACCACAAUCUUUUGGCGAACAUCUCCCAUUGCAAUAUCCGCCAUCUGCAAUCUGUGUGCAGGAGAUGGCUUUGCCGACAUAGUGGGAAGACGGUAUGGAAAGCAAAAGUUGCCUUACAAUCCUAGCAAGUCAUAUGCUGGAACCAUUGCCAUGGCAGCUUCAGGUUUCUUAGCAUCUAUUUUGUGCAUGCAUUUCCUCGCUUCAUUUGGAUAUAUUGUAGAAAGCUGGAGCUUGGUCUUGGCUUUCUUUCUUGUAUCAGUAGCUUCUGCAAUUGUGGAGUCGCUGCCAAUCAGUUCACAGCUUGAUGACAACUUAACUGUUCCGUUAACAUCUUUUGUUGUUGGUGCUAUUGUUUUCUGAUCCAGAAUCUUUGGAAAUAGUUCUCCAAAUUGGAUGAAUCCUGUGCUUUCCUUCAGGAGUUCAUAAACCUGAGGUGCUCUGGUUAACUGGAUAGAUUGGAUAUCUGCUCUUUCAGCACGCCAGUAAAGCUGUGAGCCUGCUUUAAUGUGCUGGUUGAUCAGAAUUUGCUGUUGGUUUAACAAAUUGUACCCUACUGAUCCCUUCCCAAGUAAGGUAAACUACACCCAAGGUAUUAAUUUGGGCAUCUUUAGCUUAAGUUUCCAACAGUACUUUCUCUAGAGGGAAAUUUUUAUGAGUUUUCUGCAAUAUGAUUUUGUUAUGAAAAAUAAUAAUGUAUUAAAAAUUUAUGAAUGACAAUGAUUUGUCUUUCCUCUAA